UGGAAACAGGAUGCACCUGAGCAUAGAAAAGGGUCUAAAUACUUUUAUCUUUUCUACAUUUUCACUUUGUCAUUAUGGGGUAGUGUGUAGAUUGCUGAGGAUUUUAAUUGUUUUAACCCAUUUUUAAUAAGGUUUUAACAUAACAAAAUGUGAAAAAAAGUGAAGGGGUCUGAAUACUUUCCCAAAGGCAGGCAACAGUUUUCCCAGGCCUCCACCCUGGAGGUUCACUGAAGAUCUCACCUUACUCAGGUAGCUGUGAAACCUCUUCCAGGCUGAGAACUUUGUCAGUCUAAGCUUUGCAGCAGCCUCUUUGACACUGUCAAGUUCAUUCCUCAGGGGGAGGCCCCAGUUCCUGUCUGUGCCUCGUCUUUGCUACUCCCCAUGGUGCUGAAGGGUGUACAGUACAGUAUUGGACCAUAUCACCUACACCAAACCAGCAGAGAGCCUCAACAAUGGCCAGAUUGAAGGCCCCAGAGUGUUGGAAGGGAAAACGCCCAGGUUAGGUUCGGGAGGGGCACCGUGCACAAUAGUCUGCUCUCCCACUUCAACCAGGACAGUGUCUCACGUUGAAGAGGAUUAAAAGAGAGAAUGGACCAAGCUACAGACAAGGAGAGAGAUAAUAUAGGAGUAGGGCUAAAUUGCACGGUUCUGUGCCCCUCUGCCUCAUGUGGAAUCCUGUGUGAAUUUCAGCCCAACAGUGGCUGCCAGAGCAGCAGUUGGAUAAAGGGCUUAACUUUC